GUUCUGUGUUGAGCAUCUGCCCCCUGGUGGUCAUUGCAUGUCAUAGCUACCAGUUAGACGGUUGAAUGGUUGAAUAGUUGGACAAUUGCUUAGGCUUUUAUAUAUAUAGCCAGCCAGCAUGCAUCAUAUGUACCAGUCAGUCAGUCAGUCAGACAGGCAGACUGAUGGACGGUCGGUCACCUAGCCUUUUAUAUAUAAAGAUGGUAUUAGAAAUCAAAAUAAAGUAGGCACUAGAUGUGUUCUUUACUAAUUGGAAUGUCCUUUCUUUUCAGACCUGCAGUUGAUAAAGAAAUAUAUGGUUGCACACUAAUUUAUAUAUACACACCUAUUUGUGAAUAUUUCUGUCUGGAACUAUCUUGAUGUAUAUUAGGCUAAACAUGAAUUCUACUGAUGUAUCCAACUUGAACCCAUUACCAGAAGAAUCAUUCUAGGAUAGGUCAUCUCCCCUUGCUAAUCUAUAAAAUCCUACUCUAACAGUGAGAAACCUGUUUCCUACCAUCUGCCAUCCAUUUACUUAAUUGUUCAAUUUCAGUAUACAUGUAUAUAGAAGUACUGGAACUGUUAACCAAUACCCCCUUGAAAAACAACUCUAUUAACUAGAGCAUACAGUAUCUAUACACAGUUCUUUUUGUUUUUGUCUUACAAACUUAAAUCAUUUCCAAAAAUUGCUUAGUUUAGCACCUUCUCCCCCACCCUCCUCAGUGAGGUUGUUUCAUAAGUUUGUAAUACUGUUAGAUUCUCUUGUUGCAGUCUACUUUCUUUCUUAAGAUUUCCCAACCUCCUAAAUAAUUUGAUUUUUAAAAUUGUGUCACUCUUUGUGCUGACUUUUGAUAAAUGAAUGUUAUAUCAUACAGACUAGUUUCAUAGCCCUAAAACAUAAAGGGAAAUGCAUAAUAAAAUUACUUUUACAUUUUUAUGUACA